rnacentral:rRNA from 1 species
GCUAGUAAUCGCGGAUCAGAAUGCCGCGGUGAAUACGUUCCCGGGUCUUGUACACACCGCCCGUCACACCAUGGGAGUCGGAAAUGCCCGAAGCCGGUGACCCAACCCGAAAGGGAGGGAGCCGUCGAAGGCAGGUCGGAUGACUGGGGUGAAGUCGUAACAAGGUAAC